rnacentral:rRNA from 1 species
GAUGAACGCUGGCGGCGUGCUUAACACAUGCAGGUCGAACGGAAAGGCCCAAGCUUGCUUGGGUACUCGAGUGGCGAACGGGUGAGUAACACGUGGGUGAUCUGCCCUGCACUUCGGGAUAAGCCUGGGAAACUGGGUCUAAUACCGGAUAGGACGAUGGUUUGGAUGCCAUUGUGGAAAGUUUUUUCGGUGUGGGAUGAGCUCGCGGCCUAUCAGCUUGUUGGUGGGGUAAUGGCCUACCAAGGCGUCGACGGGUAGCCGGCCUGAGAGGGUGUACGGCCACAUUGGGACUGAGAUACGGCCCAGACUCCUACGGGAGGCAGCAGUGGGGAAUAUUGCACAAUGGGCGCAGGCCUGAUGCAGCGACGCCGCGUGGGGGAUGACGGCCUUCGGGUUGUAAACUCCUUUCGCUAGGGACGAAGCGUUUUUGUGACGGUACCUGGAGAAGAAGCACCGGCUAACUACGUG